UACGUAGGGUGCGAGCGUUAAUCGGAAUCACUGGGCGUAAAGCGCACGUAGGCGGCUUUCUAAGUCAGGGGUGAAAUCCUGGAGCUCAACUCCAGAACUGCCUUUGAUACUGGAGAGCUUGAGUCCGGGAGAGGUGAGUGGAACUCCGAGUGUAGAGGUGAAAUUCGUAGAUAUUCGGAAGAACACCAGUGGCGAAGGCGGCUCACUGGCCCGGUACUGACGCUGAUGUGCGAAAGCGUGGGGAGCAAACAGGG
rnacentral:rRNA from 1 species